UACGGGGGGGGGCAAGCGUUGUUCGGAAUUACUGGGCGUAAAGGGCUCGUAGGCGGCCAACUAAGUCAGACGUGAAAUCCCUCGGCUUAACCGGGGAACUGCGUCUGAUACUGGAUGGCUUGAAUCCGGGAGAGGGAUGCGGAAUUCCAGGUGUAGCGGUGAAAUGCGUAGAUAUCUGGAGGAACACCGGUGGCGAAGGCGGCCAUCUGGACGGAUACUGACGCUGAGACGCGAAAGCGUGGGUAGCAAACAGG
rnacentral:rRNA from 1 species